rnacentral:RNase_P_RNA from 1 species
CCAGCUGGCCGGGCGGCCGCACUUGCCAAUGCCGAAAGGCGGCAGGUGAGGAAAGUCCGGGCUCCAUGGAGACACGGUGCCGGAUAACGUCCGGCGGGGGCGACCCUAGGGAAAGUGCCACAGAAAGCAAACCGCCGUGACGCCGGUCUCCGGACCGGGCGGUUCGCGGCAAGGGUGAAAGGGUGGGGUAAGAGCCCACCGCGCGACUGGCAACAGGAGCGGCAUGGAAAACCCCACCGGGAGCAAGACCGAAUAGGGAUGGCACGAGGGGCGACCCUCAGGGCGGUUUCCAGCCCCGCCAUCCGGGUGGGUUGCGCGAGGCGCAUGGCAACAUGCGUCCAAGACGAAUGGCCGUCACGUCGCGGCGCCCUCGGGCGCCGCGGCCAUACAGAACCCGGCUUACAGGCCAGCUGGCGCU